rnacentral:rRNA from 1 species
GGUUAAGCGACUAAGCGUACACGGUGGAUGCCCUGGCAGUCAGAGGCGAUGAAGGGCGUGCUAAUCUGCGAUAAGCGCCGGUAAGGUGAUAUGAACCGUUAUAACCGGCGAUACCCGAAUGGGGAAACCCAGUGUGAUUCGUCACACUAUCAUUAACUGAAUCCAUAGGUUAAUGAGGCGAACCGGGGGAACUGAAACAUCUAAGUACCCCGAGGAAAAGAAAUCAACCGAGAUUCCCCCAGUAGCGGCGAGCGAACGGGGAGGAGCCCAGAGCCUGAAUCAGCAUGUGUGUUAGUGGAAGCGUCUGGAAAGGCGCGCGAUACAGGGUGACAGCCCCGUACACAAAAGCGCAUGUGCUGUGAGCUCGAUGAGUAGGGCGGGACACGUGGUAUCCUGUCUGAAUAUGGGGGGACCAUCCUCCAAGGCUAAAUACUCCUGACUGACCGAUAGUGAACCAGUACCGUGAGGGAAAGGCGAAAAGAACCCCGGCGAGGGGAGUGAAAAAGAACCUGAAACCGUGUACGUACAAGCAGUGGGAGCACAGGUUUACCUGUGUGACUGCGUACCUUUUGUAUAAUGGGUCAGCGACUUAUAUUCUGUAGCAAGGUUAACCGUAUAGGGGAGCCGGAGGGAAACCGAGUCUUAAUUGGGCGUUAAGUUGCAGGGUAUAGACCCGAAACCCGGUGAUCUAGCCAUGGGCAGGUUGAAGGUUGGGUAACACUAACUGGAGGACCGAACCGACUAAUGUUGAAAAAUUAGCGGAUGACCUGUGGCUGGGGGUGAAAGGCCAAUCAAACCGGGAGAUAGCUGGUUCUCCCCGAAAGCUAUUUAGGUAGCGCCUCGUGAAUUCAUCUCCGGGGGUAGAGCACUGUUUCGGCUAGGGGGCCAUCCCGGCUUACCAACCCGAUGCAAACUGCGAAUACCGGAGAAUGUUAUCACGGGAGACACACGGCGGGUGCUAACGUCCGUCGUGAAGAGGGAAACAACCCAGACCGCCAGCUAAGGUCCCAAAGUCAUGGUUAAGUGGGAAACGAUGUGGGAAGGCCCAGACAGCCAGGAUGUUGGCUUAGAAGCAGCCAUCAUUUAAAGAAAGCGUAAUAGCUCACUGGUCGAGUCGGCCUGCGCGGAAGAUGUAACGGGGCUAAACCAUGCACCGAAGCUGCGGCAGCGAACGUAUCACCCAAGACAACUUUACGGAGUUGACGAUUGACGGAGCGAAGCGACGUCAAAGCGUUCAUUAAAGUCGAGUUGGCUUAGGGAUACGUUCGUUGGGUAGGGGAGCGUUCUGUAAGCCUGUGAAGGUGUGUCGUGAGGCAUGCUGGAGGUAUCAGAAGUGCGAAUGCUGACAUAAGUAACGAUAAAGCGGGUGAAAAGCCCGCUCGCCGGAAGACCAAGGGUUCCUGUCCAACGUUAAUCGGGGCAGGGUGAGUCGACCCCUAAGGCGAGGCCGAAAGGCGUAGUCGAUGGGAAACGGGUUAAUAUUCCCGUACUUGGUGUUACUGCGAAGGGGGGACGGAGAAGGCUAUGUUGGCCGGGCGACGGUUGUCCCGGUUUAAGCGUGUAGGUGUGUGUUCCAGGUAAAUCCGGUUCACUUUAACACUGAGGCGUGACGACGAGGCACUACGGUGCUGAAGCAACAAAUGCCCUGCUUCCAGGAAAAAGCCUCUAAGCAUCAGGUAACAUCAAAUCGUACCCCAAACCGACACAGGUGGUCAGGUAGAGAAUACCAAGGCGCUUGAGAGAACUCGGGUGAAGGAACUAGGCAAAAUGGUGCCGUAACUUCGGGAGAAGGCACGCUGACACGUAGGUGAAGUGAUUUACUCAUGGAGCUGAAGUCAGUCGAAGAUACCAGCUGGCUGCAACUGUUUAUUAAAAACACAGCACUGUGCAAACACGAAAGUGGACGUAUACGGUGUGACGCCUGCCCGGUGCCGGAAGGUUAAUUGAUGGGGUCAGCGCAAGCGAAGCUCCUGAUCGAAGCCCCGGUAAACGGCGGCCGUAACUAUAACGGUCCUAAGGUAGCGAAAUUCCUUGUCGGGUAAGUUCCGACCUGCACGAAUGGCGUAAUGAUGGCCAGGCUGUCUCCACCCGAGACUCAGUGAAAUUGAACUCGCUGUGAAGAUGCAGUGUACCCGCGGCAAGACGGAAAGACCCCGUGAACCUUUACUAUAGCUUGACACUGAACAUUGAGCCUUGAUGUGUAGGAUAGGUGGGAGGCUUUGAAGCGUGGACGCCAGUCUGCGUGGAGCCGACCUUGAAAUACCACCCUUUAAUGUUUGAUGUUCUAACGUGGACCCGUUACCCGGGUUGCGGACAGUGUCUGGUGGGUAGUUUGACUGGGGCGGUCUCCUCCUAAAGAGUAACGGAGGAGCACGAAGGUUGGCUAAUCCUGGUCGGACAUCAGGAGGUUAGUGCAAUGGCAUAAGCCAGCUUGACUGCGAGCGUGACGGCGCGAGCAGGUGCGAAAGCAGGUCAUAGUGAUCCGGUGGUUCUGAAUGGAAGGGCCAUCGCUCAACGGAUAAAAGGUACUCCGGGGAUAACAGGCUGAUACCGCCCAAGAGUUCAUAUCGACGGCGGUGUUUGGCACCUCGAUGUCGGCUCAUCACAUCCUGGGGCUGAAGUAGGUCCCAAGGGUAUGGCUGUUCGCCAUUUAAAGUGGUACGCGAGCUGGGUUUAGAACGUCGUGAGACAGUUCGGUCCCUAUCUGCCGUGGGCGCUGGAGAACUGAGGGGGGCUGCUCCUAGUACGAGAGGACCGGAGUGGACGCAUCACUGGUGUUCGGGUUGUCAUGCCAAUGGCACUGCCCGGUAGCUAAAUGCGGAAGAGAUAAGUGCUGAAAGCAUCUAAGCACGAAACUUGCCCCGAGAUGAGUUCUCCCUGAGACUUAGAGUCUCCUGAAGGAACGUUGAAGACGACGACGUUGAUAGGCCGGGUGUGUAAGCGCAGCGAUGCGUUGAGCUAACCGGUACUAAUGAACCGUGAGGCUUAACCUU